rnacentral:rRNA from 1 species
GUCUACGGCCAUGCCACCCUGAAUGUGCCCAAUCUCGUCUGAUCUCAGAAGCUAAGCAGAGUUGAGCCUGGUUAGUACUUGGAUGGGAUUCCACCUAGGAAGACCAGGUGUUGUAGGUG